rnacentral:tRNA from 1 species
AUGUGACCGGUUAACACCCUGUCGCAGCCCUCUCACGGCGGUAACAGGGGUUCGAAUCCCCUAGGGAGUGCCA